GCGCUGCUGACGAGUCCCACAAUAGAACGAAACGGCCGUUCAGUGC
rnacentral:hammerhead_ribozyme from 1 species